GACGAUCGCUGGCGGCGUGCCUAACACAUGCAAAGUCGAACGGGGUAAAUUGCUUCGGUGAUUUACUUAGUGGCGAACGGGUGAGUAACGCGUGAGAAACCUGCCUUCCAGUGGGGGACAACAGUUGGAAACGACUGCUAAUACCGCAUAACAUAUUUGAAGGGCAUCCUUUGGAUAUCAAAGCUUUAUGUGCUGGAAGAUGGUCUCGCGUCUGAUUAGCUAGUUGGUGGGGUAACGGCUCACCAAGGCGACGAUCAGUAGCCGACCUGAGAGGGUGAUCGGCCACAUUGGAACUGAGACACGGUCCAAACUCCUACGGGAGGCAGCAGUGGGGAAUAUUGCACAAUGGGCGAAAGCCUGAUGCAGCAACGCCGCGUGAGCGAAGAAGGCCUCGGUUGUAAAGCUCUGUCCUUAGGGUAAGAGUAAU
rnacentral:rRNA from 1 species